GGCUUGACUCUGCUGUCAAUGAAUUUCUUCAACUGCACCAAGUUUUCGCGAAUCUCCAUUCGCACAAUCUCCCAUGCGCAUGCGCUGUGUUCCUGGAGAGCGGACAAGAUAAACAUUUUAUGUCAGUCAACUCAACCACUGCAGGUGUUGUUGAUCUAGCGCAUCCAUCGACAUAAAAACGGCACUUGGCAAUUCCAAGUUUCAAAUAGUAACCGACCCUCCAUCUCCAGAGGAUUCCCAAACACCACCCACGACCUGGAGACAAUAUAAAAUGCUGCCUAAAUACGUCAGGGGCAUGUGUUCCACGGCGAGACUGGCCCAUGUUGACUCCAAUACUUCCCACAGUUGUGUCAUGUUGGCUUGAUGUCCAAUAGGAGUGGAUCAUUGAGGGAUCAUUGCUUUCACCUGGAUUCAGCUGGAAAGUCUAUGUCAUGGAAAGAGCCGGUAUUUCUAAUGUUUUGUACAAUCAGCGUAUAACCUACAGCCUACACAAGAGGGAUCAUACUUACACAUAACUCUAAGUUUUGAACUUGACGAUAUAUGACGUUUUGGAACAUGUUAAGUUUUGUUCUGUUCCACGUGACUGGCGUCAGACUGUUGUUAUAUAAUUGGUCCACAUAUCGCAUAGCCUCUAAUGCAACCAACGAGACGUCCUCAUCCUGAAUAAAAUAAAACAGGGUUUUAGGUUUUAGGCAAUGGUUAAACUACCAAUUUACCAUACUGUACUUUAGUGAUACCUAACUUUAGGCUAUCAAUAUACUGAUGUGUAUCCUACCUCUGUGUUCUUGUAAAGAUCCUCUGGAAACAUUUGUUCGACGUUUUCUUCUGCACACAUAAGUGGAAAGAGUCCACCCUGAAAUAGAAUUCAUAUCAAUAUCAAUAAGUAAACUAUAUUGUGCUAGUAACCUUAAAUUAAACAUUGUGGUACAGAAAGUGAAAGCAUUGAUUAAAAAUAAAAUGUGUUAUAAUAAAAAAAAUAGAUGUUUGAAUAUCAUUGCGAAUUUUGCUCAUCAAUUGUGCACACCAAAUAGCGGACUGCUGCAGUUUAUU